rnacentral:rRNA from 21 species
CUUCCGUAGGUGAACCUGCGGAAGGAUCAUUG